AGGGCAGUAGCUCAAUUGGUAGAGCACCGGUCUCCAAAACCGGGGGUUGCGGGUUCAAGUCCCUCCUGCCCUG
rnacentral:tRNA from 1 species